GACCAGGUGCAUGGGCGU
rnacentral:misc_RNA from 1 species